AGGGCCUAUGAUGUUUUGAAUUUGCCUACAUUGUCUGAUCAUCUAAUGAAUGACAGAGACAUAUGAUUAUUCUGAGGCCUCA
rnacentral:snoRNA from 1 species